UACGAAGGGGGCGAGCGUUGUUCGGAAUUACUGGGCGUAAAGCGCGCGUAGGCGGACCUGCAAGUCGGGGGUGAAAGCCCGAGGCUCAACCUCGGAACUGCCUUCGAUACUGCGGGUCUCGAGUCCGGGAGAGGUGAGUGGAAUUCCUAGUGUAGAGGUGAAAUUCGUAGAUAUUAGGAAGAACACCAGUGGGCGAAGGCGGCUCACUGGCCCGGUACUGACGCUGAGGCGCGAAAGGCUAGGGGAGCAAACAGG
rnacentral:rRNA from 1 species